AUGAUCUGCAUUGUGUUGAAUUUAUUGAUUUUUGUUGGAUAAAUACAAAUAAUAAUAACAAUAAUAAUAAUAAUAAAUUCCUUGAGUUUUAGUAUUUUCCAUUCAUUUCCUAUGGGUGCCCAUUUUGGGGCCUGAAUGACAAAUUAAGUUUUCUUUUUUUUUCUAACACAAAUUUGUUGAAUCGAGUCCUCUUUUUUGUGUGUGUUCAGGUGGCAAACUCAGAUUAAGGAAACUAUUUUAAAAAAUUAUUUUGCCCAAAUUUGGGCUUUCUGGAGGCUAACAUAAUUUACAAUUAGCCUACAGCGCCCCCUUAUGGCUGCUCCAGAUGAACUACAGUUUCCGGUUGAUGAUAGAUCGCGCGAGGCUUGGCACAAAAGUGAUCUCGCGCGAACAGCCGUCGAGCCGUGCUGCGGUACUGAGGUAAACAGAAGAAAACUGCGGAUCCGCUUCGGACUUGGGUUUAAAGCGAUGGACGCGUUGGACAUGUUAUUACAGCAAACAGACUAUCACAAUUUUGAGAGAGAGUGAACAUCUUGGUUCUCAGCGAGGUUACUACCAAAUCUGUCUCUAUGAAGCUGCGGCGCAGGACAGUCCUGAGAAGCCGACGGCUUCGACAGCGAGAACAUGUGAAGGACUCUGAGAGCAUCUCUGUGGUGUUGAGGGACGCUGACUCUAGUCAGUCAGACAGUGUGGAAGAAAUAAAAGAUCAGGUGUCUGUUCUUCGUGAUAUGGAGCGGCCGGUAAGGAAGAGUAGAGCUGGUUCAUCAUGUCGCGUGAGAAAAGAAGGCGAGAGGCCGCUUUCUGAUGUGGAAGCACAACCUGGGACGGUUCAGAAGAUCUCCCUGGCUCCAGGUGCAAUGGCUGAGGACACUCUAGAGAAACUCAGGUUUAGGGCUAAUACCUCUAAGACCAAGAUCGAGAUUGAGUCUCGAGCAGAGCUUGAGUCUAUUUUGGACGAAUCCAGUACUGAUUUCACAGUGGAAUCGGGUCCCAGCUCACCCUGUCGUCCUCUCAAUACAGUAAGAUGCAGAGAGUGUGAGAGACUUUUCGCAAAGAUGAGAAAACAUCCCACCCCGGAAAAGAAAAGCAGAGAUACAGAUCCAGCAUCUUUAUCUUGUGAUGUGUGGGUUCUGCUUAAGAAGUGGCACCCUCAGAGACACCGUCAUCGAGAGAAGGGAUUAUUGUGGACGAGCCUGAGUCGGAUCAGGAAGCUGUUAGCAGGAGGCUCCGACUUUGCAGCCGUCAACAGAACAGAAGCAAACUGCUCCAGACCUCAUGUAUUUCAGCAGAGGAAUUUACGGCGCUGCAAGUAUCUGCUUUCCAUUCAGACCAACCGGUCCAUUACCAAAGCAAAGCCACGGCAUCGUAAGAGGUCACGAUCUGUGGUCUGGCCACCCGUUGCUGGCUGGACAUCUUCAGUGAAAAGGAAGCCUUCUUUGAACAACACAUUUUCUCAGCAGCUUUCUCCUCUCAACCUUAGUGUUAGGAUGACACAGGAGGACAAACUGCUUGUAGAUGAUAAGAUUUCAAGAUUAAAUGCAGAUUUGAAGCUGAACUCGGAUGCCUCCAGCGAACAGAGGACGACUAAUGUCCGGGGCAAACUGAACAAGCAGGAAGUGUUUGAUGGCAUAGAAGGAACGCGGCGGGUGCUGAAGUUUGAUGAAACGCCUGAAACUGUUGCUGUGGAAGCUGCGGAACAGAGGAAAAGCCCUCGGCAGAAGCACAAACGUGGAGUGAUUCGUGAAGCUCAGAAUGGUUUCCAGAAUGAGCAGCAGGAGGAGAUUUCUGAGGAUUCGGAUGGGUUCAGGACUCCCACAGAUCUGUUCAGCGUGAAGCCUAAGAUGAAACGAGGGAACCAGAAGAAAGUCUCUGCCUCUGGUGUAACAAAACCUGCCGCUCAGAAGCCCAACUUCAUGUCCAUGUUAGCCACUCUGGUGAAGAAUCAGAAUCAGAUUAUUAAAGAGUCCUGCAAAUGAGUCUCUAUGAAAGUCCUGCGAUUAGAUUUGUGUGUCAUUUUGUAUAAAUGAAGAGACAUGCAUCGUUGCUGUUGAGAUUUGUUUUAUUGUGUAAAUUAAUAGAUCUGAUUUCUGAAAAAAAAAAAAAGUCUGGUUAUAUUUAUUGUAUUGUUCAGUUGUUUGUGUUCUAACGUUUGUAUUUGCAUGAGUAAAUAAAUCUUGCAUAAACAACUUUUUGUCUUUGCUU
ensembl:lncRNA